rnacentral:rRNA from 1 species
GAUGAACGCUGGCGGCGUGCCUAAUACAUGCAAGUCGAGCGAACAGACGAGGAGCUUGCUCCUCUGACGUUAGCGGCGGACGGGUGAGUAGCACGUGGAUAACCUACCUAUAAGACUGGGAUAACUUCGGGAAACCGGAGCUAAUACCGGAUAAUAUAUUGAACCGCAUGGUUCAAUAGUGAAAGACGGUUUUGCUGUCACUUAUAGCUGGAUCCGCGCCGCAUUAGCUAGUUGGUAAGGUAACGGCUUACCAAGGCAACGAUGCGUAGCCGACCUGAGAGGGUGAUCGGCCACACUGGAACUGAGACACGGUCCAGACUCCUACGGGAGGCAGCAGUAGGGAAUCUUCCGCAAUGGGCGAAAGCCUGACGGAGCAACGCCGCGUGAGUGAUGAAGGUCUUCGGAUCGUAAAACUCUGUUAUUAGGGAAGAACAAAUGUGUAAGUAACUAUGCACGUCUUGACGGUACCUAAUCAGAAAGCCACGGCUAACUACGUG